AGCGAACGCUGGCGGCAUGCCUUACACAUGCAAGUCGAACGGUAACAGAUCUUCGGAUGCUGACGAGUGGCGAACGGGUGAGUAAUACAUCGGAACGUGCCCGAUCGUGGGGGAUAACGAAGCGAAAGCUUUGCUAAUACCGCAUACGAUCUACGGAUGAAAGCAGGGGACCGCAAGGCCUUGCGCGAACGGAGCGGCCGAUGGCAGAUUAGGUAGUUGGUGGGAUAAAAGCUUACCAAGCCGACGAUCUGUAGCUGGUCUGAGAGGACGACCAGCCACACUGGGACUGAGACACGGCCCAGACUCCUACGGGAGGCAGCAGUGGGGAAUUUUGGACAAUGGGCGAAAGCCUGAUCCAGCCAUGCCGCGUGCAGGAUGAAGGCCUUCGGGUUGUAAACUGCUUUUGUACGGAACGAAAAGACUCUGGUUAAUACCUGGGGUCCAUGACGGUACCGUAAGAAUAAGCACCGGCUAACUACGUGCCAGCAGCCGCAGUAA
rnacentral:rRNA from 1 species